rnacentral:lncRNA from 1 species
GUCAUUGACAUAUAAAGCUAACGUUUAUACGUAUAGCUUUAUCUGUAUAGUAAAAUAGCUGAUUGCAGUAUAAAUACAAGUGAACGUAUUAGGAUACACGACACAAAAAGAUAUCUAAAUACUGCAGUGUUGUAUUAAGAAUUAUAGUACUUGUAAUCUGUGCGAAUCUAAGGUAUGUUCAUUGAAUACAUAUAUUUAUAAAAAAGAUUUUUUGACCGUUACAAUUUAGAAGGUCUGUCCAAAUUAUUUUUGCAAAGAAUUCCGCUCAAACUGGGGCUAGGGGUCGUAUUAAACUUGCAGUAAGUGUUUUUUUCUCCGUGUUGAAGGCCUCACUGACUUUAGAUGAAGAACAGCAAUAAAAGCCCUGUUCCUUUGCUUUGUAUGUGCCUUUUUUUGCUGAGCAUGUAUUGUAUUUGUCGGCGUUUUGCAUUUGCGCCGAUCUGAGCAUGUAUUGUAUUUGUCGGCGUUUUGCAUUUGCGCCGAUCUGCAUUUCAUUUGCGCCGAUUUUUUUUCCAGGUAAAUUACAGGUGAAUGCUAUUUUUCAUGUAUCAUCAUUAACCACUUCCGUUAGCAAUUGUACAAAUGUUAUGAAUUGUCAGUCAAUUCGGAUAGCGAUUUACCAAUGUCACUUAAUAAAAAAGAAGAUGUGGUAUGAUUGCCAAUGGGACAACUCUCCACAAAAGACCAAAAUGACACAGAAAUUAACAAUUAUAGGUAACCGUAUGGCCUUCAACAAUGAGUAAAGCCCAUACCGCAUAGUCAGCUUUAAAAGGCCCGAAAUGACAAUGUAAAACAAUUCAAACGAGAAAACUAACUGCCUUAUGUAUAUAAAAAAAAAUGUCUGUAUACUCUGUGCUCAGCCCAACAGACUGGAUUUUCCUCCACCAGUUGUGAGCCAUAAUUUCAACAAUUAUACUUCAUAACACUUUUGCUUGGAAGAGGGCGUAAAUAAGAGGUUUGCAGUUUUCAAUUUUACAUCCGUGUAAAGUAAAUAACUGAUAUCCUAAAAGUAUUUCGGACAGCACUUAAAAAGUUUUAUCUAUAAAUAUUGGAGAUAUAUCAUUGCAAAGACAUUGGAGAUUGAGUUGUGUUGAAAAAAUAAGUAUACGUUUCUCGCUUGCACUGAUCUUUCGAUAUGUAUGCCCAGUAUUUAUUCAUCUAUGUAAAACUGUAAAUGCAAUUAGGAGCAAUUAUAAAAUCGGCGCAAAAGAAAAAUUGAAAUCGGCGCAAAUGAAAGAAUGAAAAUUUUAAAUAUCGGCGCAAAUGUCAUACGCCCGUAUUUGCGCAUGGAUAAAUACCAUAUCCGUUGUUUUUUUCUAGUAUGUUGUAAUCAUUCUGUAUGCUUAUGAGAUCUUAAUAUGAUAGAUUUUGCAGACUGAGUCUUAUUUUAAUACUCGUAAGGACUCGCAUCACAUUGAUCAGUGAGUAUUUUAAUAGGAUGCUGCUGUAUUUGAGUUUGAAAAAUUAUGUAUGUUACACAAAAGAAUCUCAAACUCAUUUUUAAUCAUUAAAGUUGACAUUUUCUUAGUCCAAUACUAUUUUGAAUUACUGAUACACUAAAAUAGUCGAGUUUUGUAAAACCAAAUAGACCGAGCAUCAAUCGACGGGUGCCACAUGUGGAGCAGGAUUAGCUUACCUUUCCGGAGCACAUGAGAUCACCCCUAGUGGGGAUUGUGUUGCUUAGGCAUUAGUUUUCUAUAUCGUGUUUUGUGUACCGUUGUUUGUCUGUUUGUAUUUUUCCUUUUUUUGCCCUAUAUGUAAUACAUAUUUCGUACUUCGUAUAAUUGUAUACACAUUUAGGCAAGUUGAUUAAAUGAUAUACAACCAUUCCCGAUGGACUAAACAGAGCUCCAAAACAAUAGAUACUAGUAAUCAUAUCAAAUUUCCUUGAUAUAUUACGAAAAAUACACAUAUAUUAUAUAUUUUGCCCCCCCCCCACCCAAUAAAAAAAACCCCCAAAAAUAAGAGAAAAAAUAAGCCUGUCAACAUAAUGCAAGGUCGAAAACGCACGUCGAAAGAAUACACACAACUACAAAACAAUAGUAAUAUUUUAUAGUUAUUCUGGUGUAUGACCGACAAAAACUUUUUACAUGAGGAAUUCUCUGUUGUGAUUGAUAUUAUUAUUUAAUGUUUCAUUUCUUUCUUCUUUUUUUUUAUCUUUUUGUAGAAAUGCAGAAACUGUAUGUUGCGUGUAUUGUUCUUUUGGUCGCCAACAUGUCCAAUCUGUCUUACGGAGUAUCCACGACGGUGCUUGAAAUGUUUCCAGAAUUCAACGACCUUUUACAGAAAAAUAUAAAAUCCGAAAGAGAAAUUCGGUCAUUGAAGAAUGAUGUGUCCCGUCUACGACAGGAGAUGAACACUUUCAAAACCCAGACAGGAAAUGCUAUUAAGAAUUUAUUAAGCCUUCAUGGACUAUAAAGUUAAUCAAUGAUUGUUUUACAAUUUACAAACCCGUUUAUACGAAUCUUUUAUGGUAAUUGUAUUUAUAUUUAUAUUCUGGAAAUGUUUAUAAUUGUAUCAUGUUGAUACAUGUAAAACUUAGAGUAUAAUCUUUUAUAGUAAACAGAUGUAAUCUUUUCUGUACUUUGGCAUUAAAUUUUUGUUAGACUCAGUGCGUUUGUUGCAAUGCCAAUAUGCAAACAAGAAUGUGUAUAGUAUACGGAUGCCCAUCUCGCACUAUCAUAUUCUAUGUUCAGUGGACCGUGAAAUUGGGGGCCAAAGCUCAAUCGGCAUCAAAAUUAGAAAGAUAUAUCAAAAGGAACAUGUAUACUAAAUUUCAUGUUUACUGGACUCCAUCUUCAUCAAAAUCUUACUUGACAUAAAAACUUUAACCUGAAGCAGACGGACGGAUAAAAAAAAACCCGGAUACACAGACCGUAAAUCAUAAUGGCUUAAAUGGGACUAAAAAAAAAACUCUUAAUACAAAAUAUCAAACCUUUUUUGAGUACUACACGCUACACUAGGCAAAGUCCGUCAAUAUAACAACCACAUUUUAUUCUCUCGAAAAACACAUUUACUCUUGACAAGUAUACUAGUCUAGAAAAUACAUUUAAUUUGAAUUAACAAUCAGAUUGUUUUGUAGUCUUUUACAAUUGAUAUAUGCCCACAUUGCAAUAAAUAGCUAGUAAAUAUCAAUCACUUCUUUUUACAGUGUUGUAAAUAAGGGCAGGCCAAUGUUAAACAAAGGUUAUUUUGUUGGUCAGAAUGGUCUUUACAUCAUGUCUUUGACAAGGUUAUUCAUUUUCAGUUCAUAUAAGGCAAGCACAUUCAUUUUCAAAAUCCUCCUGUGAUUCUUCCAAUUUAAUGAUCAUACAUAUAAUACUAUUUACUUAAACCAUUUUGACACUUUCCUGUUUUGGUAAUGAAUACUCUUUUCGAGUAUUAUACCAAAUAUUUGUAUAAUCCAAACUAUUACAAUUAAAAGCAACAGUAGUAUACCGCUGUUCAAAAGUCAUAAAUCGGUUGAGAAAAAAAACCAAAUAAAUUCGAGCUACAAACAAAAACCGAGGGAAACACAUCAAUUAUAAGAAGAAAAUAUAUAGGAAAUCAGGAAUACUGAAGUGAAACAAAACCCAACGUCAAUAUUCAUAGAAACGAUCUUUUUGAUUACAAUUGACAUAUUCCUGACUUUGUUAAGUACAUUUCAAGAAAAAAAUGAUGAAUUUAACCUGUUUUCUGUUGAGCCUCUAUAUAUAUGCCUCACGUUACGAAGUUUCCGUCUGUCACAUGUCCAUUGUCCGUGACCUCAUUUUCAUGGUUCAGUGACUACUUGAAAAAAAUUAAGAUGUUUGCAAUGUUAAUUUUUCUCUUAUCAUGAGUAGUAGGAUAACUAUAUUUGAUAUGUGCGUACCUUGCAAGGUCCUCAUGCCCGUCAGAAAGUUUUCACUUGACCUCGUCUCGUUCAAGUCCAUAUCUCAGAUACUAUAAGCAAUAUGUCUAGUAUAUUCGGUGUAUGGAAGGACUGUAGGGUGCACAUGCUCAACUGGCAUGUGCCAUCUGAUUAUAACCUCAUUUUCAUGGUUCAGUAGUGAUAGUUAAGUUUUUGUGGUUUGGUCUAUUUUGUUUAUAAUACUUUAUGCAAUAGGUCUUCUAUAUUUGGUGUGUGGAAUGAUUGUAAGGUGUACGUGUCUAGCUGGCAGGUGUCAUCUGACAUUGACCUCAUUUUAUGGUAAUAACAGUGGUCAAAGUUAAGUUUUUGACUUUUUGUUUUUUUUUCUGAUACUAUAUGCAAUAGCCUAGGUCAACUAUAUUUGGUGUAUCGAAAUAUGUUAUAAUAAACAUGUCAGUCUCGCAGGUUUCAUUUAACAUUGACCUUAUUUACAUGGUUCAUUGGUCAAUGUUUAGUUUUCUUGGUUAAGUCUGUUUCUUAGAAACUAUAAUCAAUUGGUCAAAUAUAUAUAUUUAGUGUUUUGGAUGAUUUUAAGAUGUACAUGUAUUUCUUGUUUGGUUUAUAUGACCUUGACCUCAUUUUCUUGGAUCAUGUAAAGUUUAUGUGAUAGUAGUAGUAAAACUUUAUAUUUAGUACUUUCAACAUUAUAUCAAUGAUAAGUAAAGGAGGUUCAGCGUGUGUAUUCUUGUUAUUGCUAGCCAAACUUCCCAAACUUAUAUGGCAAUGUUUGAAAAUAUCGCUGAAAUGACAACACUACGUGACAGAAAUACAACACAAACACACGCAAGAACACUUAUGAGAAACACAACAACAACUAAUGUAAUAGUGGACACAACAUGCAAACCGUAAAACAAAAACGGACAUCUUCCUCCAAUGACAUACAGCACAGGACACCACCAACAGUGACACACUAAGUAACGAACAUUGAAACUCAUACAAUUAUUUCACAAUACCAGUCCAAACAAUUAUUAUGACAAUGACGGUAUUGAAACGCUAUUUUAUAAUUAUUUGAAAAUACAUAACACAGUACACAACCGAAACCACAACAGAAACAUUAUAAAUAAAGUAAUAUAGCUGACUAUGCGGUAUUGGUUUUCCUCAUUGUUGAAGGCCGUACAGUGACCUAUAGUUGUUAAUUUCUGUGUCAUUUGGUCUUUUAUGGAAAGUUGGCAAUUAUACCACAUCUUUCUUAUUGUAAUACUUCAAAACAGAUUUAAGAAAGAAAAAAAAAUGACAGAUUUCAAUAUUUUUCAAACCAUCUGUGGAUUCUUGCGUAAAAAAUGAUACUUUAUUCAAAUAUAAUAACAGCUUGAAUAAUAUAUAUAUGUUUAUAUAUAUAUAUAUAAACUGUAUAUGCACAAUAGUAAGUAAUUUUACAAAAUCAUUCUUUAGGUUCCACAAUAUAUGAACAAUUUAGUAAAAAAAAAAACGAUACACAAUUUAAGCGGAGAAUGAUAUACUGUUAAGGGAAUAGUUCAUGUCAACUAUAUACAUUCAAUUAAAUCCGAAAACUCAUUCGAUCGAUAUAAAGAACUCAAAAUUAACAAAUACAACAAAGACACAAAUACAAAUUUGAGAGCACUCGCAGUAACUAAAAGCUAUUUUAACCCCAUAACAACUAAUAAGAAACAUGUAGCUCAAACUUAAAGUUUAUCAGUUUUUUUAUUUCAGCGGAUGAUGACAAAUGUUGAAAAAGUAAUCAUCAGCUCGUCUUCCGUUAAUAUAUUUCCC